GAGCAGCAGUGGCGGCGACCGGCGACAACGGAGCAGCCAUGAGGGCCGGGCCCAGUCACCGACAGUGAGUGGUGGUUUAAGGGUAGUGGACUCUAAGGAAUGCAGAUAUGGCGUGGUGGAAGGACACCCUGACUAGCGGGGUGGCUUCUACUUGUCGGGGACGGAGGUCGUGGGGGAGGGAUAGUUUGAGGUGAUGAUGGUGGAGCAUUUGGAGCAUGGAUGAUUAGGUCAUGAGUCCCAGAGCUGGACAGCUUGGCGGAGGGAAGGGGUUGCGUUUCGUGGAGUGAGGGCGCACACGGCAGGACCAGUGCCUCGCGCUGUCUGGUUUGUCAUCAUCCCUUCCCCCAGGAGCUUUGGGUCGCCUCUCCCUUUCCGCUUCUUUCAGAGAAUGGUUGCUGGGGGGGAAGGGUGGUGGAAAAUAAAAGCCGUGCUGGAGCUGAAGAAGUCCACUCUGAACCAGUCAGAGAAGGACUGGUCACUGGCCAGCAAUACGAUCAGAUUUUAGACUCUAUGGUUAUUAAUGGAGUAACUGAUUUCUCCAUCAAAACAAAGCAUAUUUGUAAAACCUCAGUAGACAAAAAUAUGUGCACCCUGCAUAAGUACAGCAGAUCAUCUGUAGAAAUAGCACUUUCUUCCGUGGUGUGACAAAUUCUCUGUCAAAUUGAAUAGGAAAAGUACCCUACUCCUGUGCCUUUUUACAUGGUAUGCAGCUUCUGACCCAAGAGGAAGCAAAUACAGCCUGAAGCACUGAGCUAUGUUCUCAGCCUUCCUUUUGCUUUUUAUUUUGAGACUAAGUUUCACUAACUUGCUUAUGCUGGUCUUGAAUUCAAGCACUAGUUGAGUUUGAAUUAACAGUCUUGCCUCUGUUUCCCCAGUAGCUGGGGUUAUAGGCGUACCUGGCUGAGAUUCGGGAGGGCUCCUCUGUUAAUGCUUGUGUGCCAAGCAGUUUAUUAACUGAGCCAUUUAUCUCCCCAGCCUCUACUUGAUGCUGGAACCUGAGCCUGGGUUUUGAGUGUGCUAGGCAAGUGCCCUAUCACCAGCCCAUUUUGUUUUGUUUUGUUUUAAUUGAGACGGUGCCACUACAUUACCUAGGCUGCCCUUGAAUUUUCAGUACCCCUGCCACAGCCUCCUAAAAGUAACUGGGAUUACAGUUUUCCAUCAUCAAGCCCAGAAUAGGCUUCUAUUAUUAUUAUUAUCAUUAUCAUUAUUAUUAUUUAGUCCAUUUUCUACACUCCAGAUUUUAUCCCCCUCCUGAUCCAUCCUCUGAUGGUUCCCCAUCCCAUACCUCCUCCCUACCCUGUCGGCAGCUGCUGCUACCUCCUCCUCCUCCUCCUCCUCCUCCUCCUCCUCCUCCUCCUCUUCUUCUUCUUCUUCUUCUUCUUCUUCUUCUUCUUCUUCUUCUUCUUCUGUUGCUGCUGCUGCUGCUGCUGCUGCUGCUGCUUCUUCCUCUUUCUCUUCUUCUCCUCCUCCUUCUUUUUUAAGACAAGGUUUCUCUGUGUAGCCCUGGCUGUCCUGAACCCUGAUUUCUCUUAUUAUAUUUUUAAAAAUUUGUUUAUUUGGAGCCUAGAGAGAUGGCUCAGUGGUUUAGAGCACUUGCUGCUCUUAAAGAGGGCCUAGGUUCCAUUUUUAGCACUUACAUGAUGGUUCACCAUCAUCGUUAACUCCAGCUCUAGCCGAUCUGCCUUCUUUAUUUUGUAGGAAAAAGAACAAGUUUAUUUAAUGCCCUGCAAAGAAAGCAAAGGGGAUUGAUAAUAAUAGAAGAUUGCCUGCCAGCCUCUGAUACUUUUUAAUUUUAAAAGCUUCCUUUGCAAGAGUCUGGUUGCCCUAGGGCGUUCUCUGUUUUGGAGUGGUGUACAGCCACAGCUUUUCAACUCUUUUUCUUCGUUGUUUAUAGUCUUCUGCCAGAAAUCUCUUCUGUGAAGUGAGAAGGACAAGUAGGUAGUUGUGUAAGGGUCUAGGAGAUGGCUGGUUCUGUGAGAGGCUGGAGGAGCGCUCCCGGGGCUUUGUUGCUGAGGGUGGAUAAAGCGAAGGACAGAGUUAAACUGUGCGCUGCCACGGAGGGAAAGUGCUUUUCUAGACACAGCUUUCUAAAGAUAAGUGCGGAUGCCUUUCAAGUGCACAGAAAGGCAGAUACUUUAGCCCUGCUGGCUCUGAGGAACGAGAGCUUGAAACAGUGAGGCCUUUUGAAAAUUGGGGAGUGAUUUCUUUUAGCUGAAUGAAGGUGGGGAGUGGCUGUACUAGAUCCCCAGAGAUCCAUAGAUAAGAGGAAUGAAUUGUUUUAGAGGCAUGGGGGAAGUGAGCCCUUGCUGUCUUUAACUUACCUAUCUGCUAGAACGUCUUUUUUUUUUUUUUUUUUUUGAUUUUCUAGACAGGGUUUCUCUGUAUAGCCCUGGCUGUCCUGGAACUCACUUUGUAGACCAGGCUGGCCUGGAACUCAGAAAUCCACCUACCUCUGCUUCCCAAGUGCUGGGAUUAAUGGCGUGUGCCACCACUGCCCGGCAAUAAUUUCUGAUGAUCUCUUCUGGCAUGUAGGUAACAGAGCACCAUAUACAUAAAAUAAAUAAAGGACAGAAAAAAGGAAAGAGGGGGUAGUGAGGGAGGAGUGGGAUGGGAAUGGAGUUCAGUGUAGAGCACUUACUUAGCUUAGGAAACUCACUUACUUGGUUAGCACACAUGGGUCUUUGGGCUCUAUCUCCAGCACUGUUAAUGAAGGCAUUCCUUGCUAUUAUAGGUCUUUCCAGAACCCAGCUUUGUACAUGGUAAAUGAAAUAGAGGUAGAAAAUGUUCAAACUUGCCUAGCCGUCUUAUUUUUGAUAAUUUGACAUCUAUUUUUAAUGUUGAUAAUGAAUUUUCCCCCAUGGAAGAUGUAUGACCUGGUCAGGUCAUGACACUGCAAGGGAGUAUGGUUUAGCAAUUUAUUUUGUAUUCUGAUAAUGUGGUUUUUUUUUUUUCCUUUAAAAAAAAAACAUCAUGUGCCUCAGGGGAAACUUACAAACAAGAUUAUGGUGUUUAUAAUCAGGAAAAUAACUGCUGCAAAACAGCCUUUGUUUCCUGAGAGUCCUUUUGAUCUUUUGAUCUUGUAAGCCAUUUCACAACAGGGAGAUGGCUUAUCAGGUAAGGCUCUGGCCACCAAGCCCAACCCAAGAUCUAGGUUUGAUCUUCGGAAUCUUCAUAGUAGAAGGAAAGAUCCUUCUCCUGGAACUUGUCCUCUGACCUUCACACUAACCUCCAGCUGGAGGCCUCCCUCCCCAACACAAAAGGGGACAAUAAAGGAAAAGAAAAAUCUCUUGUGAUAGUUUACAGCAAGUAGCUAAUAAUGGAAGCGAGGCAGAAAUGAUUUCUUUUUGGUUUUGUUUUCUGAACUACUGCUGUUAACUUUAAACGGGAACAAUGUGGGAAGAUGUUAAAAAGAAAAACCAAACCAGGGGUUGGAGGUUUAGGUCAGUGGUAGAGUAUACACUUUGCAUACGGAAGCCCCAGGUUGGAGCUUUAGUUCUGGAGGAAGACAGCAAUAAAACAAAAAUAGC
rnacentral:lncRNA from 1 species